UCUGUGUAAACUCGACGGGAGUGCCAAUUGUUGAAAAGGAAGUACUGCGAAGUGGGAACUUUGUCAGAACAACAUUAAAAUUGUCCGCGGUUAAUGUAAACUGGUGAAGGAAACGAAGAUGUUUAGAUAUUUCUUGUGUCACUGAAUAUCGUUCGUUUUGCGGUACUAUAGGGAAAUGUAUAUAUAUGCAUAACAACUGAAGAAUUGUUAAAGAACCUCAAAGAAUUGAAUGAAGUAGGAUUUGUUUUUUUGUGUUUAUUUAUUGUAAUGCCGAGAUUAAACAAGCGGUUAUCACAUUUAUUAACUGAUAGCAUAUUAAAAACAUUAAAUCAAAGGAAAAUAUGUACUGUACUUGAAUUCCUCGAGCAAGAACCGGAAUAUUUGGCUGCUCUUCUGAAAAUAAGUUUUAAGGAUGUGAUACAGAUUCGCAGCUCUCUUAUAACUGAUUACUCAGCAUUUCCUCAUAAAGGAAUCAGCAUGUACAAUGAUUUAGUAGCAAAUUCAGCACUUAUACAGACAGGCAUUAAAAGCAUUGACACAAUAUUGGAAGGUGGCUUGCUUACAGGAAACAUAUAUGAGUUGUGUGGUCUUUCUGGUACAGGGAAAACCCAAAUUUGUCUUGCAACAACGGCACAUGUAACAUCAAAUUUGAAACAAAGUAUAUAUUACAUUGAUUCAAAUUUGUCUUUCUCAGGGGAAAGAAUGCAGUCAAUAUUGGAUGCCAGAUGCCUUGAUGAUGAGGAAAUUGGUAAUAUAAUGAAUAAAGUAAAAGUGGUAAAUGUUAGAAAUAUUUAUCAGCUUUUUUCGUUCUUACACAAAUGGAAAGAAGACCUCCAGGAAAUGAGGGGAGACUACAGCAUUCGUCUUGUUAUUAUUGAUUCAUUACCACCACUGUUUUUUAAUUUUUAUGGAGAAGGCCAUAAUGAUGUCUCACCACAAAAUGUCUGCAAUUGGUAGCUACAUUUUGGACACCCUGAGAAGAAAAUAACAUUUAAUUCCAAUGACACAUAUCUAGCAACUGGAAAUUCGUUAGUUGAUUUGCACCAUACCUUUCGACUUGGAGUAACAACAAUCAGAGAAAUUGUAAGAAGAGUAUGUUCAUCAAUCUGGAUUACCGUGAAAGAUGAAUGUUUGUCAGAACCUACCAAAAACGAUUGGUUGCAAAUAGCAAAAGAUUUUGAAACUAAGGCCAAUUUCCCAAACUGUAUCGGUGCUGUUGAUGGAAAGCCUGUGAGAAUGGUGAAACCAGCAAACAGUACAUCAAUGUUUUUUUAACUAUAAGAAAUAUUUCUCUAUUGUAUUAAUGGCUGUUAGUGAUGCAAACUACAAAUUUGUCGCUAUGGAUGUUGGAUCGUAUGGUAAAUGUGCUGACUCAACAAUAUUUCAACAGUCAGUGUUCUAUAAGAGAAUACUGUCUAAUAACUUGGACAUUCUCAGUCGCACAGCAUUCUGUGUCCAUAGGCUAGUCUCCGAGUUGAUAUGAAAAAAGUAUUUAAUUAUCGUCAUUGUCAAGCAAGACGUUUAGAGUGCACUUUCGGGAUAAUGGCAAAUAAGUGGAGGAUCUUUCACAGGCCUCUGAAUGUAGACGUUGAUUUCGCUAUAGACAUUGUAAAGGCAUGUUGUAUUCUACACAACUUUGUACGAAACAGAGAUGGUGUACAAUUGAUACAUUGUAUGGAUAUCCUCGAAUUCAUGAGGAUACUCCACAACCAAUAUGCAGGCACAGAUCCAAUUCACACUACAGAAAUGUUUUUGCCGAUUACUUUGCACAUGAAGGCGCUCUGC